GUAACACGUGUGCAACCAACCCCGUACCGGGAGAUAACCCGCGGAAACGUGGACUAACAUCCCAUGAGACUCGAGAGCCGCAUGGCCCUAGAUUUAAAAUUCCGGUGGUACGGGACGGGCACGCGCGACAUUAGGUAGUUGGCGGGGUAACGGCCCACCAAGCCGACGAUGUCUAGGGGUUCUGAGAGGAAGGUCCCCCACACUGGAACUGAGACACGGUCCAGACUCCUACGGGAGGCAGCAGUGAGGAAUAUUGGUCAAUGGGCGAGAGCCUGAACCAGCCAAGUCGCGUGAGGGAAGAAUGGUCUAUGGCCUGUAAACCUCUUUUGUCAGGGAAGAAUAAGGAUGACGAGUCAUUCGAUGCCAGUACUUGACGAAUAAGCAUCGGCUAACUCCGUGCCAGCAGCCGCGGUAAUACGGGGGAUGCGAGCGUUAUCCGGAUUUAUUGGGUUUAAAGGGCGCGUAGGCGGGACGGCAAGUCAGCGGUAAAAGACUGCAGCUAAACUGUAGCACGCCGUUGAAACUGUUGACCUCGAGACGAGACGAGGGAGGCGGAACAAGUGAAGUAGCGGUGAAAUGCAUAGAUAUCACUUGGAACCCCGAUAGCGAAGGCAGCUUCCCAGGCUCGUUCUGACGCUGAUGCGCGAGAGCGUGGGUAGCGAACAGGAUUAGAUACCCUGGUAGUCCACGCCGUAAACGAUGCUCACUGGAUCUUGGCGAUACACUGCCAGGGUUCAAGCGAAAGUAUUAAGUGAGCCACCUGGGGAGUACGUCGGCAACGAUGAAACUCAAAGGAAUUGACGGGGGCCCGCACAAGCGGAGGAACAUGUGGUUUAAUUCGAUGAUACGCGAGGAACCUUACCCGGGUUUAAAUGUAGAUUGCAUGAGGUGGAAACGCUUCUUCCCUUCGGGGCUAUUUACAAGGUGCUGCAUGGUUGUCGUCAGCUCGUGCCGUGAGGUGUCGGGUUAAGUCCCAUAACGAGCGCAACCCCUAUCGCCAGUUGCCAUCGGUUGAAGCCGGGCACUCUGUCGAGACUGCCACCGUAAGGUGCGAGGAAGGCGGGGAUGACGUCAAAUCAGCACGGCCCUUACACCCGGGGCGACACACGUGUUACAAUGGCCGGUACAGAGGGCAGCCACGGGGUGACCCGGAGCGAAUCUCUAAAGCCGGUCGUAGUUCGGACUGGAGUCUGCAACCCGACUCCACGAAGUUGGAUUCGCUAGUAAUCGCGCAUCAGC
rnacentral:rRNA from 1 species